rnacentral:rRNA from 1 species
GGGCCCUACGGGGCGCAGCAGGCGCGAAAACUUUACAAUGCGGGAAACCGUGAUAAGGGGACACCGAGUGCCAGCAUCAUAUGCUGGCUGUCCGGGUGUGUAAAAUACACCCGUUAGCAAGGGCCGGGCAAGACCGGUGCCAGCCGCCGCGGUAACACCGGCGGCCCGAGUGGUGAUCGUGAUUAUUGGGUCUAAAGGGUCCGUAGCCGGUUUGGUCAGUCCUCCGGGAAAUCUGAUGGCUCAACCAUUAGGCUUUCGGGGGAUACUGCCAGGCU